UACGUAGGGUGCGAGCGUUAAUCGGAAUUACUGGGCGUAAAGCGUGCGCAGGCGGUUUGCUAAGACAGGUGUGAAAUCCCCGGGCUUAACCUGGGAACUGCGCUUGUAACUGGCAAGCUUGAGUGUGGCAGAGGGGGGUGGAAUUCCGACGUGUAGCAGUGAAAUGCGUAGAGAUGUGGAGGAACACCGAUGGCGAAGGCAGCCCCCUGGGCUAACACUGACGCUCAUGCACGAAAGCGUGGGGAGCAAACAGG
rnacentral:rRNA from 1 species